rnacentral:rRNA from 1 species
GCUUCUAUGACGUUAGCGGCGGACGGGUGAGUAACACGUGGGCAACCUGCCUGUAAGACUGGGAUAACUUCGGGAAACCGAAGCUAAUACCGGAUAGGAUCUUCUCCUUCAUGGGAGAUGAUUGAAAGAUGGUUUCGGCUAUCACUUACAGAUGGGCCCGCGGUGCAUUAGCUAGUUGGUGAGGUAACGGCUCACCAAGGCAACGAUGCAUAGCCGACCUGAGAGGGUGAUCGGCCACACUGGGACUGAGACACGGCCCAGACUCCUACGGGAGGCAGCAGUAGGGAAUCUUCCGCAAUGGACGAAAGUCUGACGGAGCAACGCCGCGUGAGUGAUGAAGGCUUUCGGGUCGUAAAACUCUGUUGUUAGGGAAGAACAAGUACGAGAGUAACUGCUCGUACCUUGACGGUACCUAACCAGAAAGCCACGGCUAACUACGUGCCAGCAGCCGCGGUAAUACGUAGGUGGCAAGCGUUAUCCGGAAUUAUUGGGCGUAAAGCGCGCGCAGGCGGUUUCUUAAGUCUGAUGUGAAAGCCCACGGCUCAACCGUGGAGGGUCAUUGGAAACUGGGGAACUUGAGUGCAG